rnacentral:tRNA from 1 species
GCGGAUGUGGCGGAAUUGGUAUACGCGCACGCUUGAGGUGCGUGUGGCUUGUCCUUGCGAGUUCGAGUCUCGCCAUCCGCA